rnacentral:rRNA from 1 species
UACGGAGAGGGCGAGCGUUAUUCGGAAUUAUUGGGCGUAAAGCGCACGUAGGCGGCUUUGAAAGUCGGAUGUGAAAUCCCUCGGCUCAACCAAGGAAGUGCAUCCGAAACUGCAGAGCUUGAGUACCAAAGAGGAUCGCGGAAUUCCCGGUGUAGAGGUGAAAAUUCGUAGAUAUCGGGAGGAACACCAGUGGCGAAGGCGGCUCACUGGUCCGGUACUGACGCUGAGGUGCGAAAGCGUGGGGAGCAAACAGG